rnacentral:rRNA from 1 species
UAGUAGUACACGCCCUAAACAGAUGUGCAUUAGGUAUUGGGAGUAUCGACCCUAUCAGUGCCGUUCAAAAAAGCUAACGCAGUUAAGUGCACCGCGUGGGGAGUACGGCCGCAAGGUUAAAACUCAAAGGAAUAGACGGGGAGCCGCACAAGCGGUGGAUCAUGUGGUUUAAUUCGAUGAUACGCGGCGAACGUUACCAAGGCUUGACAUGUAGUUGCAAGCCCCUAGAAAUAGGGGCCGCUUUGGAAGGUGGUACACAGGUGGUGCAUGGUUGCCGUCAGCUCGUGCCGUGAGGUGUACCGUUAAGUCGGGUAACGAGCGCAACCCCUAUGCUGUGUUAAAUGUACACAGCAGACUGCCCGGGCAACCGGGAGGAAGGCGGGGACGACGUCAAAUCAGCAUGGCUCUUACGCCUUGGGCGACACACAUGAUACAAUGGUCGGUACAAUGGGUAGCCAAACCGCGAGGUGGAGCUAAUCCCAAAAAGCCGGCCCCAGUUAUGAUUGUAGGUUGCAACUCGCCUGCAUGAAGUUGGAAUCGCUAGUAAACGCGCAUCUGCCACGGCGCGUGGAAUACGUUCUCGGGUUUUGUACUCACCGCCCGUCACACCACGAAAGUUGGCAAUGCCCAAAGGCUCUGUAUCGGGACUAAGGC